GUUCUUGUAGUUGAAUUACAACAACGGCUUUUCAAGCCGUGGGUCUGGGUGGAAGUCCUGGCGGGAACU
rnacentral:tRNA from 1 species